rnacentral:rRNA from 1 species
UACGUAGGUGGCAAGCGUUGUCCGGAUUUACUGGGCGUAAAGGGAGCGUAGGCGGACUUUUAAGUGAGAUGUGAAAUACCCGGGCUCAACUUGGGUGCUGCAUUUCAAACUGGAAGUCUAGAGUGCAGGAGAGGAGAAUGGAAUUCCUAGUGUAGCGGUGAAAUGCGUAGAGAUUAGGAAGAACACCAGUGGCGAAGGCGAUUCUCUGGACUGUAACUGACGCUGAGGCUCGAAAGCGUGGGGAGCAAACAGGAUUAGAUACCCCCGUAGU